rnacentral:rRNA from 1 species
GACAGAGGUCCCAAGCGUUAGGCGGAAUCACUGGGCUUAAAGCGUGUGUAGGCGGACUUCUAAGUACCUUGUGAAAUCCCACGGCUCAACCGUGGAACUGCUUGGUAUACUGGUUGUCUUGGGCCAUCUAGGGGCUAGCGGAACAAACGGUGGAGCGGUGAAAUGCGUAGAUAUCGUUUGGAACGCCAAUGGUGAAAACAGCUAGCUGGGGAUGUGCUGACGCUGAGACACGAAAGCCAGGGGAGCGAACGGG